UUAAGCGACUAAGCGUACACGGUGGAUGCCCUGGCAGUCAGAGGCGAUGAAGGACGUGCUAAUCUGCGAUAAGCGUCGGUAAGGUGAUAUGAACCGUUAUAACCGGCGAUUUCCGAAUGGGGAAACCCAGUGUGUUUCGACACACUAUCAUUAACUGAAUCCAUAGGUUAAUGAGGCGAACCGGGGGAACUGAAACAUCUAAGUACCCCGAGGAAAAGAAAUCAACCGAGAUUCCCCCAGUAGCGGCGAGCGAAUGGGGAGCAGCCCAGAGCCUGAAUCAGUGUGUGUGUUAGUGGAAGCGUCUGGAAAGGCGCGCGAUACAGGGUGACAGCCCCGUACACAAAAAUGCACAUGCUGUGAGCUCGAUGAGUAGGGCGGGACACGUGGUAUCCUGUCUGAAUAUGGGGGGACCAUCCUCCAAGGCUAAAUACUCCUGACUGACCGAUAGUGAACCAGUACCGUGAGGGAAAGGCGAAAAGAACCCCGGCGAGGGGAGUGAAAAAGAACCUGAAACCGUGUACGUACAAGCAGUGGGAGCACGCUUAGGCGUGUGACUGCGUACCUUUUGUAUAAUGGGUCAGCGACUUAUAUUCUGUAGCAAGGUUAACCGAAUAGGGGAGCCGAAGGGAAACCGAGUCUUAACUGGGCGUUAAGUUGCAGGGUAUAGACCCGAAACCCGGUGAUCUAGCCAUGGGCAGGUUGAAGGUUGGGUAACACUAACUGGAGGACCGAACCGACUAAUGUUGAAAAAUUAGCGGAUGACUUGUGGCUGGGGGUGAAAGGCCAAUCAAACCGGGAGAUAGCUGGUUCUCCCCGAAAGCUAUUUAGGUAGCGCCUCGUGAAUUCAUCUCCGGGGGUAGAGCACUGUUUCGGCAAGGGGGUCAUCCCGACUUACCAACCCGAUGCAAACUGCGAAUACCGGAGAAUGUUAUCACGGGAGACACACGGCGGGUGCUAACGUCCGUCGUGAAGAGGGAAACAACCCAGACCGCCAGCUAAGGUCCCAAAGUCAUGGUUAAGUGGGAAACGAUGUGGGAAGGCCCAGACAGCCAGGAUGUUGGCUUAGAAGCAGCCAUCAUUUAAAGAAAGCGUAAUAGCUCACUGGUCGAGUCGGCCUGCGCGGAAGAUGUAACGGGGCUAAACCAUGCACCGAAGCUGCGGCAGCGACGCUUAUGCGUUGUUGGGUAGGGGAGCGUUCUGUAAGCCUGCGAAGGUGUGCUGUGAGGCACGCUGGAGGUAUCAGAAGUGCGAAUGCUGACAUAAGUAACGAUAAAGCGGGUGAAAAGCCCGCUCGCCGGAAGACCAAGGGUUCCUGUCCAACGUUAAUCGGGGCAGGGUGAGUCGACCCCUAAGGCGAGGCCGAAAGGCGUAGUCGAUGGGAAACAGGUUAAUAUUCCUGUACUUGGUGUUACUGCGAAGGGGGGACGGAGAAGGCUAUGUUGGCCGGGCGACGGUUGUCCCGGUUUAAGCGUGUAGGCUGGUUUUCCAGGCAAAUCCGGAAAAUCAAGGCUGAGGCGUGAUGACGAGGCACUACGGUGCUGAAGCAACAAAUGCCCUGCUUCCAGGAAAAGCCUCUAAGCAUCAGGUAACAUCAAAUCGUACCCCAAACCGACACAGGUGGUCAGGUAGAGAAUACCAAGGCGCUUGAGAGAACUCGGGUGAAGGAACUAGGCAAAAUGGUGCCGUAACUUCGGGAGAAGGCACGCUGAUAUGUAGGUGAAGUCCCUCGCGGAUGGAGCUGAAAUCAGUCGAAGAUACCAGCUGGCUGCAACUGUUUAUUAAAAACACAGCACUGUGCAAACACGAAAGUGGACGUAUACGGUGUGACGCCUGCCCGGUGCCGGAAGGUUAAUUGAUGGGGUUAGCGCAAGCGAAGCUCUUGAUCGAAGCCCCGGUAAACGGCGGCCGUAACUAUAACGGUCCUAAGGUAGCGAAAUUCCUUGUCGGGUAAGUUCCGACCUGCACGAAUGGCGUAAUGAUGGCCAGGCUGUCUCCACCCGAGACUCAGUGAAAUUGAACUCGCUGUGAAGAUGCAGUGUACCCGCGGCAAGACGGAAAGACCCCGUGAACCUUUACUAUAGCUUGACACUGAACAUUGAGCCUUGAUGUGUAGGAUAGGUGGGAGGCUUUGAAGUGUGGACGCCAGUCUGCAUGGAGCCGACCUUGAAAUACCACCCUUUAAUGUUUGAUGUUCUAACGUUGACCCGUGAUCCGGGUUGCGGACAGUGUCUGGUGGGUAGUUUGACUGGGGCGGUCUCCUCCUAAAGAGUAACGGAGGAGCACGAAGGUUGGCUAAUCCUGGUCGGACAUCAGGAGGUUAGUGCAAUGGCAUAAGCCAGCUUGACUGCGAGCGUGACGGCGCGAGCAGGUGCGAAAGCAGGUCAUAGUGAUCCGGUGGUUCUGAAUGGAAGGGCCAUCGCUCAACGGAUAAAAGGUACUCCGGGGAUAACAGGCUGAUACCGCCCAAGAGUUCAUAUCGACGGCGGUGUUUGGCACCUCGAUGUCGGCUCAUCACAUCCUGGGGCUGAAGUAGGUCCCAAGGGUAUGGCUGUUCGCCAUUUAAAGUGGUACGCGAGCUGGGUUUAGAACGUCGUGAGACAGUUCGGUCCCUAUCUGCCGUGGGCGCUGGAGAACUGAGGGGGGCUGCUCCUAGUACGAGAGGACCGGAGUGGACGCAUCACUGGUGUUCGGGUUGUCAUGCCAAUGGCACUGCCCGGUAGCUAAAUGCGGAAGAGAUAAGUGCUGAAAGCAUCUAAGCACGAAACUUGCCCCGAGAUGAGUUCUCCCUGACCCUUUAAGGGUCCUGAAGGAACGUUGAAGACGACGACGUUGAUAGGCCGGGUGUGUAAGCGCAGCGAUGCGUUGAGCUAACCGGUACUAAUGAACCGUGAGGCUUAACCU
rnacentral:rRNA from 1 species